rnacentral:rRNA from 1 species
CAUGGCCUUUAUGUCCAGGGCUACACACGUGCUACAAUGGACGGUACAGAGGGUCGCAAUAUCGCGAGAUGGAGACCAAUCCCAAAAAAGCCGUUCCCAGUUCGGAUUGGAGUCUGCAACUCGACUCCAUGAAGUUGGAAUCGCUAGUAAUCGCGGAUCAGCAUGCCGCGGUGAAUACGUUCCCGGGCCUU